rnacentral:rRNA from 1 species
UACGGAGGGGGUUAGCGUUGUUCGGAAUUACUGGGCGUAAAGCGCGCGUAGGCGGAUCAGAAAGUUGGGGGUGAAAUCCCGGGGCUCAACCCCGGAAUUGCCUUCAAAACUCCUGGUCUUGAGUUCGAGAGAGGUGAGUGGAAUUCCGAGUGUAGAGGUGAAAUUCGUAGAUAUUCGGAGGAACACCAGUGGCGAAGGCGGCUCACUGGCUCGAAACUGACGCUGAGGUGAGAAAGCGUGGGGAGCAAACAGG